CCAGACCAUCGGACGGUCGCCGCUGCACGCGAGUGUGGGGGAGGAAAGUCCGGGCUCCACGCAGCAACGGUGCCGGGUAACACCCGGCGGGGGUGACCCCAGGGAAAGUGCCACAGAGAGCAGACCGCCUGACUUUCGAGAAGGGCAAGGGUGAAAGGGUGCGGUAAGAGCGCACCGCGCGACGGGCAACCGAAGCGGCACGGCAAACCCCACCGGGAGCAAGACCGAAUAGGGACGGCGCGCACGGCAACGUGCAAGGCCCGCUGCGGCCCAGUCGUCCGGGUUGGUUGCUUGAGGCGGACGGUAACGUUCGUCCUAGAGGAAUGACCGUCUAUGGAGCGCAAGCCCCGGGACAGAACCCGGCUUACAGAUGGUCUGGCCGA
rnacentral:RNase_P_RNA from 1 species